AUUGAACGCUGGCGGCAUGCCUUACACAUGCAAGUCGAACGGCAGCAUGGGUGCUUGCACCUGAUGGCGAGUGGCGAACGGGUGAGUAAUGCAUCGGAACGUACCCGGAAGUGGGGAUAGCCCGCCGAAAGGCGGAUUAAUACCCCAUGGUCCCGGGGGCCCGCAUGGGCAUCCGGGUAAAGCCUUGGCGGUGCGGGAUGGGCAUGCGUGCCAUUAGCUGGCUGGUGGGGUAACGGCCCACCAGGGCAACGAUGGCUAGGGGGUCUGAGAGGAUGGUCCCCCACACUGGUACUGAGACACGGACCAGACUCCUACGGGAGGCAGCAGUGAGGAAUAUUGGUCAAUGGGCGGAAGCCUGAACCAGCCAUGCCGCGUGCGGGAUGAAGGCCCUACGGGUUGUAAACCGCUUUUCCCCGGGAAGAAUAACCCCGAUGAGUCGGGGGAUGCCGGUACCGGGGGAAUAAGGAUCGGCUAACUCCGUG
rnacentral:rRNA from 1 species